UUGAUCCUGGCUCAGAAUGAACGCUGGCGGUAUGCCUAACACAUGCAAGUCGAACGGGCCGCCUAAUUAGCUUGCUCUUAUGGGUGGCUAGUGGCGGACGGGUGAGGAAGGGUGAGUAAUCUACUCUGUCCCGGGGGAUAACGUAGGGAAACUUACUCUAAUACCGCGUACAACCUACGGGUGAAAACAGGUGAUCUUCUUACCUUGCGCGAUUGAAUGAACCGAUGUCCUAUUAGAUGGUUGGCGGGGUAAAGGCCCACCUGGGCGACUAUCCGCUUCUGGUCUGAGAGGAUGAUCAGCCACUCUGGAACUGAAUCACGGUCCAUACUCCUACGGGAGGCACCAAUGGGGAAUAUUGGACAAUGGGCGCAAACCUGAUCCAUGGAACCGCGUGGGAUAAAAAGGCCUUCGGUUUGUAAAGACCGUUUGUUGAUAAAGGAAUCCUGUUGGCUAUCACCAAGUUUGGGGAUAUCGUACCCCAAGUAUAGCACCGGCUAUAUCUUCGAGCCCGCAGUAUAAUAGCAGGGUGCAGUCGUACUCGGAUACGUGAGCGUAAGCUGCUAGUGGUGUUAAGUCCGUAGCCAUCGAAACCAUGGCUCAGACUGAAGAUCUGCAGUGGAUACUGAGGCGACUCAAGUCUGUGGUAGAGGUUGAUUUCUGUGUAGAGUGAACUGUAGUAGAUCAGAGAACAUCAUGGGAAUGUAGGCGACUACCUGUGACCAACACUGACCUGAGCAGUAACCGUAUGGCUACGCAAUCAAUCAAUACCUCGAAUCAGCCCUAGAUAUGCUGAACUGGUAUGUGUCAUUGCACGAGUACGAAGUCUCCCGUCUAAUCGCCGCUGAUGGGUACGUCGCCGAUGUAGCUAGAGAGGGCGGCCGACAAGUGAGUAUGUGUUAAUUGAUGCACUGGAAGUAACUUUGCCUGGACAUGCACUUUCAUGAAUGGAAUUGGUGCACUUAGAAAUUGGACCAUCAGGUGCUGCAUGGCUGUCGUCAGGUGUUGUCGUGAGAUGUUGUAAGAAGUCCCGCAAGGACAACCACCCUUGUCAGUAGUUGCCAGCAAGUAAUGGUGGGAAAUGUAAGGAGACGUGACGGUGACAAACCGGAGGAAGGUGGGGACAAGUCAAGUCAUCAUGGCCCUUACGGCCGGGGCUACACACGUAAUACAAUGGUAGGGACAGAGGGAAGCAAGCCGGCAACGGUAAGUCAAUCCCAGAAACCAUAUUUCAGUCCGGAUUGGAAUCUGCAACUCGAGUCCAUGAAGUCGGAAUUGAUAGUAAAUGCACAUCAGC
rnacentral:rRNA from 1 species